rnacentral:tRNA from 1 species
GCUGGGGUGGUGGAAUUGGUAGACACGCUGUCUUGAGGAGGCAGUGGGCUUCGCCCGUGCGAGUUCGAUUCUCGCCCUCAGCACCA